UCUGAGAUCGAAUUUGGUGGCUGAGCUGAACCAAACAGUUACUGAGGUGCAGAGGAUGGAUUCGAUGAUGGCAGUGUAAAACUGUUUCAGCAAAUCCUGUGGCAGGUUGAACUUCUUCAGCUGAGCUGGGCUUCUUCAGCUGGGCCUUUCUCACAAUGGAGUCAAUGUGAAUGUCCCACUUCAGGUCCUGGGAGAUUGUGGUUCCCAGGAAUCUGAAUGACUCCACUGCUGUGACAAUGCUGUCCAUGAUGUAGUUCCCUCAUCGUCCUCCAUGUGACCUCCCACUGCAUCUGAAGAGCAGUGUGAAGAAGCAGAUGUUGCCAGAAAGCACAAUAUGGUUCCUGGUUUUUUCUGGAACCUAUUUGGAGCUGAUCCUUCCCCUUCCGAGACAGUAGUGAACCUUUUUUUUUUUUUUUCCCUUUUGGUAGAUGUAGUUCAUUGACCACAGUGUGUUUGCCUAUCUGCUCUACCUAGGGGCUAGCAAUUAAACCUGACUGUUAACCCUUA